CGCUUGGAUUAUAUACAACAUGAAAAAUGAGAAGAAGGUUUCAAAGAAAGAAUUUACAGAAGCAUUAAUACAAUCAAUUACUGGAAAAAAUAUAUGCCCUGAUAGUAAGUAUAACGACGUGCAACAUAACUGUAACCAUCUUUAGACCUAUGUUGAAGGUGAUUCCUUCUGUUUCGUGUUGACGACGUUCUACCUCUGCAACAGGAAAUCAAGUAACACCUACGGCCGAUCAUAUCCUUGAGAUGAGC
rnacentral:misc_RNA from 1 species